GACGAACGCUGGCGGCGUGCUUAACACAUGCAAGUCGAACGGAAAGGCCCUGCUUUUGUGGGGUGCUCGAGUGGCGAACUGGUGAGUAACACUUGAGUAACCUGCCCUUGACUUUUGGAUAACUUCAUGAAACUUGGGCUAAUCCCGGCUAGGAGCUCCUGCUUCAUGGUGGGGGUUGGAAAGUUUCGGCGGUUGGGGAUGGACUCGCGGCUUAUCAGCUUGUUGGUGGGGUAGUGGCUUACCAAGGCUUUGACGGGUAGCCGGCCUGAGAGGGUGACCGGACACAUUGGGACGGAGAUACGGCACAGACUCGUACGGGAGGCAGCAGUGGGGAAUAUUGCACAAUGGGCGGAAGCCUGAUGCAGCAACGCAGCGUGCGGGAUGACGGCCUUCGGGUUGUAAACCGCUUUCGCCUGUGACGAAGCGUGAGUGACGGUAAUGGGUAAAGAAGCACCGGCUAACUACGUG
rnacentral:rRNA from 1 species